UGUGUAGAGUAGGUUUGGAACCCAGUGAACAUAUAUGUCUAAAGACAGCUAUGAAACAUUUCAAAUAAAAGUAGUUUACCUACAUGUAGUUAGAUUGACAAAUUAUGUUUGAGUACCUUAUUAGUAGACAGAUUUGCAUAAAUAUCUUAUUAGUAGGCCAGCUAAGGAUCAGGUUAAUUGUAUUAGAUGAUUUUAUAAUCCUUUAUGACUGAUGAAAUGGUAUCACUGAAAAUGUACUUGAAAUUUGAAAAUGAAAUUUAAAUUAUCCUAAUGAAAUAUGGGUCAUAAGAGAUACCAUUAAUCUCAUAGGUUUAAGAUGUUUUAAUUUUUUGGUGAUUACACCUUAGUAUUCAAAAUCAUUUUGUUUUAGUAAAACUUGUUAUACAUGACAAAUUUUAUACUUAAUUUGAAGUGACUUUGGUGAUUCAAAAAUUUUUAUAAAGUUUUUAAAUGACAAUUAUUAUUCUACUUUAAACAUUUUAAUGAAUCACUCUUCUUAUCCUUAAAGGAAACCACAUGAUAUGAGAUGCUGAGAAAAAUUAAAUUGAUGUAUCUCCAGUGUACAACUUUCAUUUGAAGAUUGAAUAAAGUAGUGCUGCUUGGCUCAUUAGACUCUGUUGCAGAGGUCAGCCUUGAUGAGCAGGAUAAAGCAACAGCUAAGCCAAAGGCCCUGCCAGCUUAUUUCUUGGUGGGAAGGGGAGGAGUUUAAUAGGGAUGGAAGAGUGAACAGUGACAUCAGGUUUUCUCUUGUGGGUGACUGGGUGAGUAAUCAUGCCAUGGCUAAAACAUCAGAUCCUGGGAGUAGAACUGGUUUUGUUGGGGAAUAUAAUUAAUUCAUUUGAGGUUGUGUUAGAUGUGAUUUAUUUAUAGAACAGUCUGAAUGUCUAUUUGGAAAUUUAAUAUUCAGAAAAGAAUUAAGGACAAAAGACAUAGAUUUGUAAGUCACAGGCAUAUGGGUAAUAAUUAAGUGAAAAGUCUUGAUUAAAUUAUCCACCCUUCCUCCCUAAAAAGAGUUUUUAAAAAAGAGGGCUAAAGAUGGAGUCCUGAGAUGAAUAAUGUACCAUAAAAGAUGGAGAAGUAUCCAUCAGAGUGGUGGGGAGAGGAAGGCACUGUAUGGAAGAAACAGUUCCCAGGGAGAGGGUCAUGUUAGAUGUCUCAGAGGGUGAAGAAAGUUAAAAAAGGUAAAGAAAUUUAAAGUCUGGAUUUGGUCACUAGGAAAUUACUUUUUUGUUAUAGCAGCUUUAACACAGGAUAUUGGAACACAUAUUGGGUGGCAAAGUUAGAGGAUUGAAUUUUAGUGGAAGAAACACAGAAGAUGAGAUGCCUGGUGGCAUCGGGAGGCAAAUAGAGAGAGGCAGAGGAGGGAGAGAAUCCUUACAAAAUUAUGUCAGUUUGAGAAAUUUAGGAGUAGUUUUAUCCAGUGCAGAGAUUGGUUAUGGGUGGUAGGAAGAGACAGUAACUAGUGGAGUGAGAUUUUACAACGACCACAUCAGGACGCAUCUCUGCCUGCUGACAGGGGUUACAGAGCCCGCUGUGAUUUCAUGCUGGUGGGCUGUGCCACGUACUAGCAAGUUUAUAUUUCACCCUGCCUUUAUCACAUCAUAUUUCCACAGCCUUGUCCACCAUUUCCGGUAGAUUAAGGGGUGACGUUAGUGUUUUAUAUUUUCAUGUAUUUGUGUGGUCAUGCUAGAGAUUACAUUUAUUUCAACUGAUGUUUCUUACAGACAGAGCAGCAGUGAUAUUGAAGCUUUACCUUAGACGUAUUGUCAUGUAGCCAUUUCUUGGGAAGAUGCAGAUGAACAAGGAACUGAGAGUGAUGCAGGGGGAAAUACCAAGAGCUCAGUGAAAGAGCAUCCUCAAGAAGAUGAAGGGUCCUCUAAAAACAUCUCUACCAUGGAAUGUGAUCUGCCCACAGUAGAGAAGCUGAUGAAGCCUGUCAGAAUAGAUUCCUUUGGGUUGGUGGUUUUGAUUUAUAACCUGUCAGCUACAAGAAACUGGCUAAGAAUAAAGAAACUGAAUUUGUUAACCCUUUACCCCUUAAGAUGAAUCCAAAUAUUAUGUCUCAAGAAACAAAAUGUGAAUCAACUUCUGGACAAGAAUGAGCAUAUAGUUUUACAAAAGUCAACAAAUGAAGGUACAGAAAAUAACUGUCCAAGAGUAAAUACUGUGGAAGAACAAAUAGAUAAAAUGUACCUUGAUAUUUUGAAGAAAACAGUAUCUGUUGGUCCUUGAUUAUUACCCCAGGAUGACAAAAUACAUAAGGUAAGUGUUUAUAGUUUAUAUUGAUUGGACAUAGUGAUCAAUGAAUUUACAUAAAUACUGCUGACAUGUAUGUACUUCGUGAGCCAGCGGGAAUGAUUACAGAGUAAUCCCCACAUGGAUAUUGGGUAUCUGUGAGCAGUUAUCUAUUACAACACCCUGUCAUCCCCAGAUUGUAAAAUGUCACUGUAGCAUUAGCUUUCUUUUAGAAGCCAUUUUUUACAUUUUAAAUUUUUUAAACAAACAGUCCAGAAUUUGAGUAGCAUAAGAAAAUUAAGUUUAUUCUGGUGCUUUUUAUUCAAUCUUAUCAGUAGUCUGUACUGUGCAAAAGGAGGUUAGUUGGCAUUUCACAUAAAUGCUGUUAGCGACUGUUGAGAAACUUAUACAUCUCUGUUCCUUGUUUCUGUGUUCUUGAUUUAUUCUGUUUUAUAGACUCAUGACCACAGUAUUCCAUUUUUAUUUUAUGAUUUUUACUUAUAUGUUUGCCAUAUACUAGCCAUAAACUAUCUCCAGUUCCUUGUGGAAUAAGGCAGGGUACUAAGCAGUUUUUACCUUGAGAAAUCUGGAGGAAAAAAGAUAAGAUUUUAAGUCAUUUCAGCUGUGUUCUUCCCCACUCUCCUCCAUGUUCACUCUUGUAAUUACAUGUUUUCCUUUCUGGCAAGCCUGCUUUGUUUUAUUAUUUUGCUAUUUUUGUUCCUGACUUUGAAGAUGUGCUUCAGAAUACUAAAAUUCUGAUGAAUUAGGCUUGGAGAACUUGAAUGUCGUGGCUCACUUUCUACAAACUGUGUUCUUCAGUAAGCACUAUGGUUUUGUGAUCUGUUAAAUUGUAUUUACAACUGUCACUGAUGUUUGUUUAAGUACUGAAGAAUUUGUACUUGUGCACAGACUUUUAGAUCUCAGCUGAGUUCUGGAGAAGCAGGAGCUGGGACUGGUACACAGCUACCACACAGGAAGGCCAGAAGUGCCCAUCCUUUAUUUAGAGAAAAUGCCAGAGUGGAUUAUAUGCAUCAGUUAGGAGCUCAGGCUAAGGCAAACCCAGUUCACCAUUCAAGACAUUUUCUACUCUUGAAAACUUCAAAGGACUUAAUGAAAAACAAAAACUUGAGAUCCAUCUCUGCCUCAAAUCAAGCCAGGAAAAAAGAUAAUUGUACACACUUUUCAUAAUAAAAUUCAGUACAUUUUCCUUAUUCUCUACUUUCCCUGUUCCCUUCUCACUUUCUAAGAACUUUCCUUAUUUGUAGAAAAAAUUUAAUCUUAAGGUGCUACAUUCCGUCUCUGAAAGA